rnacentral:rRNA from 1 species
AGCAUAUCAAUAAGCGGAGGAAAAGAAACCAACAGGGAUUGCCCUAGUAACGGCGAGUGAAGCGGCAACAGCUCAAAUUUGAAAUCUGGCGCAAGCCCGAGUUGUAAUUUGUAGAGGAUGCUUCUAGGUAGCGACCGGUCUAAGUUCCUUGGAACAGGACGUCAUAGAGGGUGAGAAUCCCGUAUGUGACCGGCCCGCACCUUCUACGUAGCUCCUUCGACGAGUCGAGUUGUUUGGGAAUGCAGCUCUAAAUGGGAGGUAAAUUUCUUCUAAAGCUAAAUACCGGCCAGAGACCGAUAGCGCACAAGUAGAGUGAUCGAAAGAUGAAAAGCACUUUGGAAAGAGAGUUAAAAAGCACGUGAAAUUGUUGAAAGGGAAGCGCUCACAACCAGACUUCUGGGCGGUGUUCCGCCGGUCUUCUGACCGGUCUACUCACCGUCCCGAGGCCAACAUCAUCUGGGACCGCUGGAUAAGACCUUAGGAAUGUAGCUCCCCCUCGGGGGAGUGUUAUAGCCUGUGGUGAUGCAGCGCGUCUCGGGUGAGGUCCGCGCUUCGGCAAGGAUGUUGGCGUAAUGGUUGUCAGCGGCCCGUCUUGAAACACGGACCAAGGAGUCUAACAUCUAUGCGAGUGUUCGGGUGUCAAACCCCUACGCGUAAUGAAAGUGAACGGAGGUGGGAAGCGUAAGCUGCACCAUCGACCGAUCCUGAUGUCCUCGGAUGGAUUUGAGUAAGAGCAUAGCUGUUGGGACCCGAAAGAUGGUGAACUAUGCCUGAAUAGGGUGAAGCCAGAGGAAACUCUGGUGGAGGCUCGCAGCGGUUCUGACGUGCAAAUCGAUCGUCAAAUUUGGGUAUAGGGGCGAAAGACUAAUCGAACCAU